GGGACGUAGAACUCGGGAACUGGUGCACGGAAUGAGCAGAACUACCGAAGCAAUCCGUGACACUUAUACACGCCGCAUAUUUGUUUAUAUACUGGAUUCUAACAUAUCUACUAAUGUAUUGUACAUAUCAUUCUUAGAAUAUCUUGUGUACAUUAAUCUGGUGUAGAUACAUACAGAUUCCAUUUGGAUUACUUUUACAGUGCUAUUUGUGUUGUUAAUUGGAUUAAUUCUGACAUGUCUUAAUUUCUUUCUUUUUACUUUUGGAUUAUGUGUGUAUUGUUUUGUAUUGCUCAGUAUUGCUGCUCUGUUGUUGCUAGAAACACAAGCAGUUCCCUGCACCUGCGAUAACAUCUGCAAAUCUGUGUACCCGACCAAUAAUCUUUGAUUUGAUUUGUUCCAUGAUCUGUUAUUGAAGGUUAUUAUCUUGGAGGGGCCUGACAACUGAUUGACAGCUUGAAGAGAAUAGAUCAUGGAGACAGCAUCAAUCAGGAAGGGCUUUCAGUGUAGCCUUCCAUAUGUAGUUGGUGCUGACUCCCUAGAGUUUGAAGAGGAGAGAAAGGGAUUAAUGCAGAAGAGUGACUAAACCCCCAAAAGUGAAGUGAGAGGACUGAAGAGGAGGACAGAAAAGACGGUCUUCGAGUCAUUUUCUAACUGACCCACCCCACCACAGCGAGUCAGACCAGUAAAAUAUGCAUGCUUACAAAGCUAAUGGCAUAUCAGCAUAUAGAUGUAGCCUAUUUCAGGGAGAAGAGUUGUGGAGAACGUCAGUUUGGUGAUUUGUCUGUGAUCUGAUCACAGUAUAAACAGAUCAAUCCCUUGUCUCAUUGAUUGGACUCCAGGUUAGCUGACUCCAGACUCCAAUUAGCUUUUGGAGAAGUCAUUAGCCUAGGGGUUCACAUACUUUUACAACCUACACUGUGAAUGUUUAAACGAUGUAUUCAAUGUAGACAAGAAAAAUACAAUAAUUAGUGUAUUAUUAGCUUAAGCACACUGUUUGUCUAUUUUUGUGACUUAGAUGAAGAUCAGAUCAAAUUUUAUGACCAAUUUAUGCAGAAAUCCAGGUAAUUCCAAAGGGUUCAUAUACUUUUUCUUGCCACUGUAGCUAAAAAUAACCUAGUGCCAGCUUGUCUCUCUAUCUCUGGCAUUUUGGUCGUGUGUACUGCAGACCCUUAAAGAUGCUCAAUUGACCGAAAGGAUUCUCUUGGGCAACUCAGAGUUGCAAGACCCUUGGUUUCAGACUAGACAUUUACAGUGUAUGUUUUCC
rnacentral:lncRNA from 1 species